rnacentral:rRNA from 1 species
UACGUAGGGGGCGAGCGUUGUCCGGAAUCAUUGGGCGUAAAGCGCGUGUAGGCGGCCCGGUAAGUCCGCUGUGAAAGUCCAGGGCUCAACCCUGGGAUGCCGGUGGAUACUGUCGGGCUCGAGUACGGUAGGGGCAGAGGGAAUUUCCGGUGGAGCGGUGAAAUGCGUAGAGAUCGGAAAGAACACCAACGGCGAAAGCACUCUGCUGGGCCGACACUGACACUGAGAGACGAAAGCUAGGGGAGCGAAUGGG